rnacentral:sRNA from 1 species
UGUUAUGAUUGUAAAGCGACGGCCAUAU